rnacentral:rRNA from 1 species
CUUGCUCCCGGAUGUUAGCGGCGGACGGGUGAGUAACACGUGGGUAACCUGCCUGUAAGACUGGGAUAACUCCGGGAAACCGGAGCUAAUACCGGAUAGUUCCUUGAACCGCAUGGUUCAAGGAUGAAAGACGGUUUCGGCUGUCACUUACAGAUGGACCCGCGGCGCAUUAGCUAGUUGGUGAGGUAACGGCUCACCAAGGCGACGAUGCGUAGCCGACCUGAGAGGGUGAUCGGCCACACUGGGACUGAGACACGGCCCAGACUCCUACGGGAGGCAGCAGUAGGGAAUCUUCCGCAAUGGACGAAAGUCUGACGGAGCAACGCCGCGUGAGUGAUGAAGGUUUUCGGAUCGUAAAGCUCUGUUGUUAGGGAAGAACAAGUGCAAGAGUAACUGCUUGCACCUUGACGGUACCUAACCAGAAAGCCACGGCUAACUACGUGCCAGCAGCCGCGGUAAUACGUAGGUGGCAAGCGUUGUCCGGAAUUAUUGGGCGUAAAGGGCUCGCAGGCGGUUUCUUAAGUCUGAUGUGAAAGCCCCCGGCUCAACCGGGGAGGGUCAUUGGAAACUGGGAAACUUGAGUGCAGAAGAGGAGAGUGGAAUUCCACGUGUAGCGGUGAAAUGCGUAGAGAUGUGGAGGAACACCAG